UACGUAGGAGGCAAGCGUUGUCCGGAUUUACUGGGCGUAAAGCGUGCGCAGGCGGUCUGCUAAGAGAGAUGUGAAAUCCCCGGGCUCAACCUGGGAACUGCAUUGGUGACUGGCAGGCUAGAGUAUGGCAGAGGGGGGUAGAAUUCCACGUGUAGCAGUGAAAUGCGUAGAGAUCGUAAGGAAGGCCAGUGGCGAAGGCGAGUUCCUGGACAGUUACUGACGCUGAGGCGCGAAAGCGUGGGGAGCAAACAGG
rnacentral:rRNA from 1 species